UACGGAGGGUGCUAGCGUUAUCCGGAUUUACUGGGUGUAAAGGGUGCGUAGGUGGUUUUUCAAGUCGGGGGUUAAAGGCUACGGCUUAACCGGAUUAAUCCGCUGAAACUGGAAGACUUGAGCGCAGGAGAGGAAAGUGGAAUUCUGCGUGUAGCGGUGAAAUGCGUAGAUAUUGAGCAGAACACCAGUAGCGAAGGCAGCUUUCUGGACUGUAACUGACACUGAGGCACGAAAGCGUGGGUAGCAAACAGG
rnacentral:rRNA from 1 species